rnacentral:rRNA from 1 species
AGAGUUUGAUCAUGGCUCAGGAUGAACGCUAGCGGCAGGCUUAAUACAUGCAAGUCGAGGGGGAUUAAUUGUCUAGCAAUAGAUGGUUAUGAGACCGGCAAACGGGUGCGGAACACGUACGCAACCUUCCCAAAACUGGUGAAUAGCCCUCCGAAAGGAGGAUUAAUACACCGUAACUUAAUGAAGUGGCAUCACUUUAUUAAUAUAGCUCCGGCGGUUUUGGAUGGGCGUGCGCCUGAUUAGGUAGUUGGCGGGGUAACGGCCCACCAAGCCUACGAUCAGUAACUGGUGUGAGAGCACGACCAGUCACACGGGCACUGAGACACGGGCCCGACUCCUACGGGAGGCAGCAGUAAGGAAUAUUGGUCAAUGGACGCAAGUCUGAACCAGCCAUGCCGCGUGAAGGAUGACGGCCCUCUGGGUUGUAAACUUCUUUUAUCUGGGACGAAAAAAGGUCAUUCUUGAUCACUUGACGGUACCAGAGGAAUAAGCACCGGCUAACUCCGUGCCAGCAGCCGCGGUAAUACGGAGGGUGCAAGCGU